GAGAUGUUUCUUAGCAACAGGUGCAUCUCCGAGGAGACAGCGCUCAAGCACACGAUCGCGCAUGCACACCACACCUGACACCUCGAACCCGUGGUUGUUCAAGGGUCUAGACGUGUUCCGAGGAUUAGGGAGGCUUCCCACCUGCACCCCCCCCCCCCCCACCCCGCUGAGUGGAAACCUGUGGCGUUUUUCCAGCAAACCCGUCAGCGUCACGACUCCUCGAGGCCCGAGGAAGAACAGAUGGACUUGUUUGUGCGUUGACACUGGUCCUCAGAAGAAGCGUGUCCAAGCCACCGUGCGCCGCACCGACAGCUCGACAGCGAUGUACCCCACCAUCCUGUCAGAGGUGAACCCUGGAACCCUGCCUAACCGUGCACCUGUGCUUCCGGGAUAGGCUCCGGACCUCCGGCACCCCGACCCGAGCAAGCGGUGAUUGACACUUAGCGAGCGGGUCAAUGUUUACCCACAUAGUUGAACACCCUGCGCAGUAACCGUUCGACAUCCAGUCUCCCAGUGUUACAGGACGGGUCAUAUAAUAUCCUCUCAUAAUAUAGCUGCCUUUAUUAAUACAGCUCAUGUAGACCUCCCUCCAUCCCUGCUCAGGUUUUACCUUGGAUCAAGGUCAAGACAGCUCGUUCAGUGUCUUCUUCUCUGACGAAGCCUUCGGUAGAACCUGAGCUCCGGUGAGCCAGGUCAUUUGCUUCCUGGUCGCGCACACAGGUGGACUCAGAAGGCAAAGAGAGUUUAAUCAUUAAUCACGAAGAGAGAUUAAAAAGAUGGGCCAUUUCCUCUGGGGUCCUGGACCAAUUUAAACCCUGCUGGCUGAUUCCAUAAGUGCUGUACACUGAAAUGUGGGUGCCCUGAUGAAAUAUUUCUAAAUUGGAGAAUGCAGGACAGGUACGGAUUGCUGGAGAAGGGCAAUUUGUCCCCUGGCGCAGCCGUUGGGAUGGCAAAGAGGGGUUUAUUGUGGAUGGAAAAAUCAGCAUAAUAACGUGGCAUCGUUAGGGUGCCGACAACCGAGAGGAGAUCUGCGGUCGUAUUUUAGCUGACGUUCCAUGACGAGCCCAACGGUUGUUUGGUCUCGUGCAGCUUCGAUGGUUCUUGUGACAGCCAGGGCUUUAGACGGAGUUCAGUAUUAAACCGCUGCCAAGUGCACCUUUUGUCAUUAUGGCGAGAAAAAUGGCGAGAAAAGCAGUCGGCUGUAACUCAACGUGGAUUUCUUUGACAGAGGUGCUUCACUGCGAGCGCUAUAUUUAGUUUUAUUUAGGUAUUAUUCUCCCAGAAUGUCAACCCAAAAGGUUGUUGUAUUAUGGUGUAUUACAGUUGGCAUGAGUAUAAACCUGUUCACUGUCAAUUAUAUACAGCCUCGAGAAAGUCUGUCAAUCAUUUGGAGGUAUCUGGGUUUCAGCGUGAAUGGCUUUUAAAAUCACGUGAUUGUGAUAUGAUCUUCAUUUUAGUCAUAGCAGUAGAUAAAGAUGGAUUAAAUAAGCGGAGCACGGAAUGGUGCAUUGUUACAUCUUUAGUGUGUGUGUAGGGAACGUAUUGUAACGACCCGCGUUACUGUUUAAAUGUAGAUAGUUGCAUUAUGGGAAAUAAUGUUAAAUGGUGUGUAACCGCUGGGGCCACUUCGGGGGGAAAUGGUGGCUUGCCUGUGUCUGCCACUGUGUUGGGAGAGCUUAGGGGUGUUAAGGCAGGCUGGCUGUAAGUGCAGGUCCUAGAGGAAAAGGGGUCUUUGGACCGAGAGCAUUAUUCCCUUUGUGCUGGUGUUCAAAUAAACCCUUCGUUAUGAAUGUUGCUUCCGCGUCC
ensembl:lncRNA